rnacentral:rRNA from 1 species
UUCUGCUCAAUGGUUUAACUAAAUAGCCGCAGUACCCUGACUGUGCAAAGGUAGCAUAAUCAUUUGGCUUAUAAUUGAAGUCUGGCAUGAAAGAAUCAAUGGGUAACUACUGUCUUUUAGGGUUUAAAGAAAUUACUCAGUAGGUGAAAAUACCUACCUAUAAAUAAUAGACGAGAAGACCCUAGAAAUUUUAUAUAAAAUGAUAUAGAUUAUUAAUAUUUUGUUGGGGCGACAGAAUAACAAAUAACUUAUUCUAUUUAUUAGAACUAUGUUUUGAGCUAAAUUAAAUUACUCUAGGGAUAACAGCAUAAUUUAUUAGAGUUUGUGACCUCGAUGUUGGACUAGGGUUUAUAUUGUUUAGAAGAUAAUAUAGUUAGCUCUGUUCGAGCUUCAGUCCCUACGUGAUCUGAGUUCAGACCGGA